rnacentral:rRNA from 1 species
AUUGAACGCUGGCGGCAGGCUUAACACAUGCAAGUCGAGCGCGCGGCGGACGGGUGAGUAAUGUCUGGGAAACUGCCUGAUGGCGGGGGAUACCUACUGGAAACGGUAGCUAAUACCGCAUACCAUCAGAUGUGCCCAGAUGGGCUUAGCUAGUGGGUGGGGUAAUGGCUCCCCGAGUCAAAGAUCCCUAUCUGGUCUGAGAGGAUGACCAGCCAACCUGGAACUGAGACACGGGCCAGAGUCCUACGGGAGGCAGCAUGGGGGAAUAUUUCAGAAUGGGGGAAAGCCUGAUGCAGCCAUGCCGCGUGUGUGAAGAAGGCCUUCGGGUUGUAAAGCACGUUCAGCGGGGAGGCGUUACUCGCAGAAGAAGCACCGGCUAACUCCGUGCCAGCAGCCGCGGUAAUAC